GAGCACGUGAUGCUAAGGGAGGAAAAACAGAAGCAACCAAAUAAUUCACAAUGUGUGCAAACCAAGGAGUAGGGUGAGAAGAAGAAAUCAUCAACAAACUCUCAUCAGGAAAGUCAUCCUGGAUAGGCAACACAUCAACUUCAUCCUUAGCCCUCUCAAUCCUGCUGAGGUGGUCUGCAACCAAGUUCUGUGCUCCACUCCGG
rnacentral:lncRNA from 1 species